ensembl:lncRNA
UAGGAAGGGUGGGGGAGUUGCCCUCUAUGUCAAAGAGUGGAUAGACUGUGAGGAGCCCCCUCUGAGAAACAGUCAGGAACAGGCUUUCUUGCUCCAGAUGUGGGAGGCAUCGUGCUCACGGGCCCUCGUCCUGGUGGGGGACUUCAACCAUCCAGACAUCUGUUGGAAAGACCACAUGGCAAGCUGCAAGAGGUCCAGAAGGCUCGUGGAAUCCAUUGAUGACAACUUUCUGGUCCAGGUAGUGGACAGACCAACCAGAGGUGAAGCGUUGCUGGACCUGCUGCUCACCAAUGCGGAAGAGAUCAUCAAAGAUGUCAACGUUGGAGGCAGCCUGGGCUGCAGCGACCAUGCCCUGGUUGAGUUUGUGAUCUUGAGGGAUGUGGGCCUGGCAAAGGGUGGGGUUAGGACCCUGAACUUUGGAAGAGCGAACUUUAAGCUGUUCAAUGGAUUGUUGGCCAAGAUCCCCUGGGAUGCUGUCCUUAAAGAUAAAGAUGUUGAGGAGAGCUGGCUAC